GUGAGGAAUAUUGGUCAAUGGGCGCAAGCCUGAACCAGCCAUACCGCGUGCAGGAAGACGGUCCUAUGGAUUGUAAACUGCUUUUAUUUGGGAAUAAACUCCGGUACGUGUACCGGCCUGAAGGUACCAAAUGAAUAAGCACCGGCUAACUCCGUGCCAGCAGCCGCGGUAAUACGGAGGGUGCAAGCGUUAUCCGGAAUCAUUGGGUUUAAAGGGUCCGCAGGCGGUCUUAUAAGUCAGUGGUGAAAGCCUACAGCUCAACUGUAGAACUGCCAUUGAUACUGUAGGACUUGAAUUCGAUCGAAGUGGGCGGAAUGUGACAUGUAGCGGUGAAAUGCUUAGAUAUGUCACAGAACACCGAUAGCGAAGGCAGCUCACUAGGUCUGGAUUGACGCUCAGGGACGAAAGCGUGGGGAGCAAACAGGAUUAGAUACCCCAGUAGUCC
rnacentral:rRNA from 1 species